rnacentral:lncRNA from 1 species
GCCGCAGAUUAAAGGCUUCAGAUUACGCCUCAGAUUUGGCGUUGGAUUGGGUUUCAAUCAGGCCUUACAUUAAACUGUAUUCAAUCGCUCAAAAGUAGAAUUAUAAAACUUCUUUUUUAGCUAUUUCACAAAAUUAAUUUGACCUGCAUACAUUUUCAAUACUUUACUGUUCAAAACUUAAGAAAGCAAGCUCAUUUGUGAACGAAAUUUGAGACUUAAAACUCUGCACAUGAUAUAUGUUUAUGCACAUUUGCGAUAAAUCGGCAAGAUGGAUAUCAGGAAAGAUUAGUACGAUACCAUGUAUGCCUACGCUUUUGAAAAUUGAAAAUCCUUUGAUGUACUAUUAUUUACUGCAUAUAAUCUAUUUUGACUACCACAUACAUAUUCUUACAAUUUCUUUCUGCUAAUAUGCAUGCAUGAUCGGAUGUUCGAUCGCAAAAUUUUGGUCUUGCUAUUUUGAAUUAAAGUAAUGAAUAAGCUAUUUUUCUGAGAGUAAUGUCACAUAAUUCGAGAAAGUUCCACUGAUCAUAAUUGAAAUAAGUGUGGUUAACAAAUAAAUGUUGUGCAAAACGUAUUUAUGAACACAUUAACUUUAAAAAAAAAAAUAAAAAAAAAAAAAAAUAAAUAAAAUGUGCCUCGAUGGUGAGCUUUGUUUGUCGUGUUACCAACCCUCCAAUUAAAAAAAUUGUAAGAUAGAAGCUUUGUGGGGAAGCUGCUGGUUGUCUUGGCCCCAUCCAGGUUUCCUGUAUAUAUUCCAGGUUUUUUCUGGCCUCCCUGACUAUCCAGCUAUAGUAUGAGUGAUGGUAACGCCCAAAUAUAUGUCUAACUAUCAUCUGGCAGCAGCUGUCUUGUAUACAAAUACAGCUGUGGUGGGAGUUCGUCUAUGGGGAAUACACAUGUUGUGUAUUUGUGGGGUUGAAGUGUUCCCAAUGGUCAACUUCAGGCCCAUAGACUCAGGUUAUUUAUGUAAAUAUAAUCAGUCGAAUCGUAGGUACUGUCCAAGGGGAUUAUCACCCCUUGGUUCAGGUCUAUGUCAGAGGGGGUCGCUACCCUUCGGGCAGAGCUCCUAUGGAGCAUUCAGUCUCUCCUAGCAGGUCUUAUAUAUACCCCUGCGGGAUGAAAACAUAAGGCUUAAUGAGUCUUUGGGUUGACCAGAGUUUGAGAGUAUAAUGUAUAUAAUUGGUUCACUUCACCCUGAACCCAUUCUCCCACAAUGAUUUGGUGUGUGUUUUACUUAUUUUCGGGCUGUUCUUUCACCUAACGUGCUUGAAUUAUUAAAGCAAAUUUAUAUAUAACAAUAUAUAAAUUCAAGUUAAUGAGACAACACGUUUGUCACCUGCAAACCUGGUUAUAAUCUCAUAGUAACAGGAUAAGCUUGUCAACAGCCACAAAAAGGCGAUAUCCAAUAGUCCAAAGUUCAAAUGUUUCUCUGGGCAUGUGUAAACCGAAUGAAAGAUCAACUGACCAAUCAUAUGUCAACAACGAACACGCAGAACAAAGGUCAAUGUGAUAAGGGAGUUCACUUUGACAAAUAUCCCAACAAAGAGCAAUGUCUUGUUACCGAGAAAGAAAAUUUCCACCCACCCACCCGUUCAUGUUCCUGGUAUCUGGUGCAUUGUAUGGGUACUAGCUAAUGUUAUGCAAGGACUGUUCAAGAACAAUUUGUCAAGAAAGACUAUCGAACAAUUUUCUCAUGGAAAAUUAUCGCUAUGUAAAUACUUAAAUGUUCAAACAAAUAAAUUUUGGUUCGGGGUUGAAGUGUUCCCAAUGGUCAACUUCAGGCCCAUAGACUCAGGUUAUUUAUGUAAAUAUAAUCAGUCGAAUCGUAGGUACUGUCCAAGGGGAUUAUCACCCCUUGGUUCAGGUCUAUGUCAGAGGGGGUCGCUACUCUUCGGGCAGAGCUCCUAUAUAUACGCCUGCGGGAUGAAAACAUAAGGCUUAAUGAGUCUUUGGGUUGACCAGAGUUUGAGAGUAUAAUGUAUAUAAUUGGUUCACUUCACCCUGAACCCAUUCUCCC